AGCAGCCGCGGUAAUUCCAGCUCCAAUAGCGUAUAUUAAAGUUGCUGCAGUUAAAAAGCUCGUAGUUGAAUUUCGGGAUCGAUAUAUCGGUCGUGCCUCGGUACGUACUGGUAUUUUCGGUUUCUCCCUUCUGACGAACCUUGAUGUCAUUAAUUUGGUGUCUUGGGGAAUCAGGACUGUUACUUUGAAAAAAUUAGAGUGUUUAAAGCAGGCUCACGCUUGAAUACAUUAGCAUGGAAUAAUGAAAUAGGACGUUUGAUUCUAUUUUGUUGGUUUCUAGGAUCGACGUAAUGAUUAAUAGGGAUAGUUGGGGGCAUUAGUAUUCAAUUGUCAGAGGUGAAAUUCUUGGAUUUAUUGAAGACUAACUACUGCGAAAGCAUUUGCCAAGGAAUGUUUUCAUUAAUCUAAGAACGAAAGUUAGGGGAUCGAAGACGAUCAGAUACCGUCGUAGUCUUAACCAUAAACUAUGCCGACUAGGGAUCGGAUGAUGUAAUUUUUAAUGACUCAUUCGGCGCCUUAC
rnacentral:rRNA from 1 species